UCGAGAAUCUUUCGCAAUGGGCGAAAGCCUGACGAAGCGACGCCGUGUGAGCGAAGAAGGCCUUCGGGUUGUAAAGCUCUUUCGCUAGGGAACAAGAAAGGUAGGAUAACACCCUGCUGAUUUGAUGGUACUUGGUAAAGAAGCACCGGCUAACUCCGUGCCAGCAGCUGCGGUAAUACGGAGGGUGCAAGCAUUGAUCGGAAUUACUGGGCGUAAAGGGCGCGCAGGCGGUUUGAUAAGUCAGAUGUGAAAUUCCGGGGCUCAACCCCGGAGCGGCAUUUGAAACUAUUUAACUAGAGUUCAGUUAGGGAAAACGGAAUUCCACGUGUAGCGGUGAAAUGCGUAGAUAUGUGGAAGAACACCGGUGGUGAAGACGGUUUUCUGGGCUGAAACUGACGCUGAGGCGCGAAAGCUAGGGGAGCAAACAGG
rnacentral:rRNA from 1 species